ensembl:lncRNA
CAAAAAAGAACUUACCUUUUGGUAUGUUCUUUAUUUCUGAAAUGAUUUUAAGUACAUAAGAAAAAAAUAGAAUAAGAGCAAGUCAUAGCUAAGGCUCUAUUAGAGACAUUUUUCCCUCUAGGAGACUAUUUUGUCUCCUGGAAGAUUUAAGGAGGCUUUGUCAGUGUUAGAAAUGCUUGAGAGACCUAUAUGAACAUGCCUCUUCUCAAGGACAUUUUAGCUCACAUCUGCAGACUUUUAGGCAUGUUAUUUUUAACAAAACAGCUAAAGACAGAUGAAAAUUUAUUAAGCCAACUCUUUCUUUCUUUUAUACUAGCCUUUGAGGCGUAGAUGCAGGUAUUUUUGUUUCUCCUUCUCCAUGAACUUGAAUGCUAGAAUCUCAUGGCUCCCCUUCGCUGCCAGAAUUCCCAGGACGUCCUCUGGUGUCUCAUAUGCAGUCUCUUCCUGGUCACCUAAAUUGUCAUGUGACCUCUCUCCCCUUCUAACAGAGGAAGAAAAUCUCAGGCCCUGUAUUAGGUAUCUUUGUGGAUACAAUGAAUGUCUUGGUGCUCUUCACAUUUUUUUUUCCACACACAAACUUUGACUGCAAACUUUGUACAACUGAGUGUGGUGAUUACUGCUGAUUUUAGAACGGAGGGUACCCAACUAAAAGUGAACCAGAAAUUCAAGGAUUGAUUUUAUCUCAAUAUUUAACAUGCUGUCUAACCUUGGACUUGUCCAACGACCCACAGUACAUGGGGUAUUUGUAGGAUCACUUUUUUCCUCCAGUUAAAAUUUCUUGAACUAUCAGAAAAUUGAAAAUGCUACAUCCAAGGUAAGUGGAGGUGGGAGAAGGACCUGGGAAAGUGUUAAGUACUUUGUAAAGGCCAAAUUACGGGCUUUUUAACCCCACCAUAUUGCAGUAACUUUAGCUAUAGAAUAAAAGUUGAAUUAGGAUGUAAAUAAGGCAGCUCUUAGCAUCAGCAGGGAAUUGGUUCCAGGACACUACCCACGUGUUGUCCCCCCAAGGAUACCAAAAUCCAAGGCCGCCAGAGCCCCUUAUAUAAAACAGCAUGGUAUUUAUGUGUAACCUACGUACAUCCUCCUGUGUUCUGUAAAUCAUUCCUAGAUUUUGUCUGAUAAUAUAAUAUGAAGGCUGUGUAAACAGUUGCUAGGGCAUUCAGAAAACUCAAUCAAGUUUUGCUUGUUGGAUUUUUCUGGAUUUUUUUUUCCCUGAAUAUUUUCAAUCUGCAAUUGAUUGAAUCCUCAGAUGUGGAACCUGUUUUUUAGAGGGCCAAAUGUAAGUUCCAGUGAUUUUUUUUUUUUUUUCCACAUUAAACUUAACAUUUUAAAAGCAUCCUUAAGCAUCUUGCUUUUCGUUGGUUAAAUAAGAUACAAAGUUAAGGAAAAAGAAGGUAUUAUAUUUUUGUUUAAGUCAUCUUCACUGUAGCAAUGACAAAAAAAUAAAUUUUAUACCUACUGUAUCUCAAUUUUUGUUAUGUGCAGAUGUAAAAUAUCUUAACUGGGUAAAGUGAAAGUGUUAGUCACUCAGUCUGACUCUUGGUGACCCCAUGGACUGUAGCCUGUGAGGCUCCUCUGUCUAUGGAAUUCUCAAGGCAAGAGUAUAGGAGUGCCAUUCAGAAAUCUUCCUGACCCAGGGAUCAAACCCUGGUCUGCAUUGCAGGCAGAUUCUUUACCAUCUGAGCCACUAGGGAAGCCCCAUCUAACUGUAGGGGGAAUCAAAUCCUGUUUCUCUUCCCUUGGGCAGAACAGAGUUCCUGGCCUGUCUUUCUCAUACCUACACUCAACUCCUGCUACCCAGUAGAGGAAAAGGGAAAGACUAGAAAGGACUCUGCAAAUAAUUUCCCUUGAAACAGACGAAUUAGUAUUUUAACAAGGCUUCCAUGAACUAGAAAGGUUUGGGAUGUGCAGAAACCAAUCACAGGAUAAGGUACAGUUUUCAAGGCUAAGGUAGACCCCUGAGAACACUGCUUUUUGCCAUUAACAUCAAGUUGAGCUUUUACCUGUUGAAUGCUUUUUUUGUUUUAUUUAAGAUUAGUAAAAAGGAAACUAGUCAGCUGCUUUGUACUUCCUUGAACAGAGGUUUGAAACAGGGCCCCAACUCUCAAGAGUAAGAACUCCAUGCAUAAAAAAGUAAUCACAAAUAUUCAAAUAUAAAGGUAUUAAUACCAACUAAAGGUUGACAUUUUAAUUUGAUCUUUUUUGUUAAAUGAGUACCUUGUACAGGGGUUGUUGGAAUUUUUAUUAUAGAUUGAGAAUUUGAGAUUGACAUGUGCAUACUGCUAUGUUUAAAAUAAUCAAUGAGGACCUACUGGAUUGCACAGGGACGGCUGCUCAAUAUUCUGUAUUAACCUAAAUGGGAAAGGAAUUUGAAAUAGAUAAGCUGUAUAUGUAUAACUGAAUUGCUUUGCUGUAUGUCUGAAACUAGUACAACAUUGUUAAUCAAUUAUACUCCAAUAUAAAAUAAAAAUUAAAAAAAAUUUGGGCCUUAACUGAGGUUCAAAUAUUGAAAAUAAGUUGAUAAUACACAUUUGACCCCUUAAUAUGAAAUCUUCAAUAUACCUCCAAG